rnacentral:lncRNA from 1 species
AAUAAGUUCUCUGGUAUGUGCAAAUAAGGUGAACAGAGAAGACAGAGGGCCUCGCGUGUGUGACAAGAAAACACGCCAAAAAGUUUUGUUUUUCUGCCAUU